CAAGUUGCAAGAAGGGCAACCUAGAGGAUAUUGCAGCUCUGCUGGCUGUGAGAGGACCACCAAAGAAGAAGAGAAAGACUACCAAGGCAUCAACUGAGGAAAGCAUAGUACUUUUUGAUGGUGAAGCACCAGCAUCCUCUAUGACUUUUCCACCAAGCCAAAGUGUGCAACCUACA